rnacentral:rRNA from 1 species
UACAGGGGGGGCAAGCGUUGUUCGGAAUUACUGGGCGUAAAGGGCUCGUAGGUGGCCAACUAAGUCAGACGUGAAAUCCCUCAGCUUAACUGGGGAACUGCGUCUGAUACUGGAUGGCUUGAGUUUGGGAGAGGGAUGCGGAAUUCCAGGUGUAGCGGUGAAAUGCGUAGAUAUCUGGAGGAACACCGGUGGCGAAGGCGGCAUCCUGGACCGACACUGACGCUGAGGAGCGAAAGCCAGGGGAGCAAACGGG